rnacentral:rRNA from 1 species
AUACGGAAGGUCCGGGCGUUAUCCGGAUUUAUUGGGUUUAAAGGGAGCGCAGGCGGAGAUGCAAGCGUGACGUCAAAUUUCGGGGCUCAACCCCGUCUCGCGUCGCGAACUGCGUCCCUUGGUUGCGGGAAGGGGAGGCGGAACUCGUGGUGUAGCGGUGAAAUGCAUAGAUAUCACGAAGAACUCCGAUCGCGAAGGCAGCCUUCCGGCCCGUCAACGACGCUCAUGCUCGAAGGUGCGGGUAUCAAACAGGAUUAGAUACCCUGGUAGUCCGCACAGUAAACGAUGGACACCCGCGGUGUGGCCUGUAUGGCUGAGCCGCCAAGCGAAAGCGUUAAGUGUCCCACCUGGGGAGUACGCCGGCAACGGUGAAACUCAAAUGAAUUGACGGGG